UGCCGAGUACUAGCUGACAUUUUAGUACCCAAUUCCGUCAGGUCCGGAAGGAAGCAGCGGUAAGUAUUUAAUUUGUGCAGUUAGCUCCUCGGCAUUU
rnacentral:SRP_RNA from 1 species